UGCUUAAAGAGCACUGGAGAAGACCUGCCACAGUACACUGAAUGUUUGAUACAGAUGAUCUUCACCAACUGGACUGCGGUGCAGGAAUUUGACGAACACGACAGGCAGCAUCUUGCAGAUGCAAUUCGCUGCUCCAUUAAAACGGUGCCCAGCCUGGAUGUGGGAAGACACCUGGUGCUCUACGUGCGCAAGAUUUCGGGGUAGCAUGGUUA